rnacentral:rRNA from 1 species
UACGUAGGGUGCGAGCGUUGUCCGGAAUUAUUGGGCGUAAAGAGCUCGUAGGCGGUUUGUCGCGUCGGCCGUGAAAACUUGGGGCUUAACCCCAAGCCUGCGGUCGAUACGGGCAGACUUGAGUUCGGCAGGGGAGACUGGAAUUCCUGGUGUAGCGGUGAAAUGCGCAGAUAUCAGGAGGAACACCGGUGGCGAAGGCGGGUCUCUGGGCCGAUACUGACGCUGAGGAGCGAAAGCGUGGGGGAGCGAACAGG